rnacentral:rRNA from 1 species
CAGUCGCCGCGGUAAAACGAAGGGGGCUAGCGUUGUUCGGAUUUACUGGGCGUAAAGCGCACGUAGGCGGACUUUUAAGUCAGGGGUGAAAUCCCAGAGCUCAACUCUGGAACUGCCUUUGAUACUGGAAGUCUUGAGUAUGGUAGAGGUGAGUGGAAUUCCGAGUGUAGAGGUGAAAUUCGUAGAUAUUCGGAGGAACACCAGUGGCGAAGGCGGCUCACUGGACCAUUACUGACGCUGAGGUGCGAAAGCGUGGGGAGCAAACAGGAUUAGAUACCCCCGUAGUCCCUGUCUCUUAUAU